rnacentral:rRNA from 1 species
UUUAUGGAGAGUUUGAUCCUGGCUCAGGAUGAACGCUGGCGGCGUGCCUAAUACAUGCAAGUCGAGCGAACGGACGAGAAGCUUGCUUCUCUGAUGUUAGCGGCGGACGGGUGAGUAACACGUGGAUAACCUACCUAUAAGACUGGGAUAACUUCGGGAAACCGGAGCUAAUACCGGAUAAUAUUUUGAACCGCAUGGUUCAAAAGUGAAAGACGGUCUUGCUGUCACUUAUAGAUGGAUCCGCGCUGCAUUAGCUAGUUGGUAAGGUAACGGCUUACCAAGGCAACGAUGCAUAGCCGACCUGAGAGGGUGAUCGGCCACACUGGAACUGAGACACGGUCCAGACUCCUACGGGAGGCAGCAGUAGGGAAUCUUCCGCAAUGGGCGAAAGCCUGACGGA